rnacentral:rRNA from 1 species
GACGUAGGGCGCGAGCGUUGUCCGGAUUUAUUGGGCGUAAAGAGCUCGUAGGCGGCUUGUCGCGUCGACUGUGAAGUCCCGCGGCUCAACUGCGGGUCUGCAGUCGAUACGGGCAGGCUAGAGUUCGGUAGGGGAGACUGGAAUUCCUGGUGUAGCGGUGAAAUGCGCAGAUAUCAGGAGGAACACCGAUGGCGAAGGCGGAUCUCUGGGCCAUUACUGACGCUGAGGAGCGAAAGCGUGGGGAGCGAACAGG